rnacentral:tRNA from 1 species
UUAAAGCUUUAAGUUAAAUAAACUAAUAACCUUCAAAGUUAUAAAUAUAAGAAUAAUCUUUUAAGUUUUAAU